AUGUCUUUAAUUAUAGUCAUUAAUUAUCUAUUAUUAAUUAUUUGUGUGCUGGUAGGGGUGGCAUUUGUGACCUUGUUAGAACGUAAAAUUCUUGGCUACAUUCAGAUUCGUAAGGGACCUAAUAAAGUAGGUUUUAUAGGGUUGUUACAGCCCUUUGCUGAUGCUGUUAAAUUAUUUACUAAAGAGCAGACUCUUCCUGUUAUGUCUAAUUUUCUCCCGUAUUAUUUAUCUCCAGUAUUUAGUUUGUUUGUUUCAUUGAUUGUUUGACUGGUAAUGCCAUACGAGUUGGGCUUGAUGAACUUUAGAAUAAGUACUUUAUUUUUUUUGUGUUGCACUAGUUUAGGGGUAUACACGACUAUAAGAGCAGGAUGGGCUUCUAAUUCUAAAUACUCUUUAUUGGGGAGACUUCGAGCAGUAGCUCAAACCAUUUCGUACGAAGUUAGGUUGGCUUUGAUUCUUUUGUCUUUUAUUUUUUUGAUUGGUGGGUUCGACUUAGGAUUAUUUAGAUUAUAUCAGCGAGAUUUGUGGUUAUUGUGAUUUACUUUUCCGUUAGCUAUAAUCUGAUUUGCUUCCUGUUUAGCGGAAACAAACCGGACACCAUUUGAUUUUGCAGAAGGAGAGUCUGAAUUAGUAUCUGGCUUUAAUACGGAGUAUAGAAGAGGGGGGUUUGCGCUAAUUUUUAUGGCCGAAUAUGCUAGAAUUCUUUUUAUAAGUAUAUUAUUUUCACUAAUCUUCUUGGGGGGAAAUUUGUUGAAUCCUUUUUAUUACUUGAAGCUAGUUAUGGUGGCUUUUGCGUUUGUCUGGGUGCGUGGAACAUUACCUCGUUUUCGUUAUGAUAAGUUGAUAUACUUAGCUUGAAAGAGAUUUCUACCUGUAGCUCUAAAUUAUCUCGUUUUUUUUAUGGGCGUAAAAUCUUUGUGUUUUGUUCUGAUACUUUAA
rnacentral:misc_RNA from 1 species